rnacentral:rRNA from 1 species
CGAGGGGUAGAAGAAGCUUGCUUUUUUGAGACCGGCGCAGGGUGAGUAACGCGUAUGCAACCUACCUUAUACAGGGGAAUAGCCCGAAGAAAUUCGGAUUAAUGCUCCAUGGUUUAUCGAUAUGGCAUCGUAUUGAUAAUAAAGAUUUAUCGGUAUAAGAUGGGCAUGCGUAUCAUUAGCUAGUUGGUGUGGUAACGGCAUACCAAGGCAACGAUGAUUAGGGGUCCUGAGAGGGAGAUCCCCCCCACUGGUACUGAGACACGGACCAGACUCAUACGGGAGGCAGCAGUGAGGAAUAUUGGUCACUGGAGGCAACUCUGAACCAGCCAUGCCGCGUGCAGGAUGACGGUCCUAUGGAUUGUAAACUGCUUUUG